AGCUCCAAUAGCGUAUAUUAAAGUUGUUGCAGUUAAAAAGCUCGUAGUUGGAUUUGUGGCGUACGGUGGGUUCCGGGCACUUGUUGUCUGAGUAACUUGCCGUUGCCAUCCUUGGGUGGAACCUGUGUGGCAUUAGGUUGUCGUGCAGGGGAUGCCCAUCAUUUACUGUGAAAAAAUUAGAGUGUUCAAAGCAGGCUUAUGCCGUUGAAUAUAUUAGCAUGGAAUAAUGAGAUAGGACUUCGUCACUAUUUUGUUGGUUUGCGUGAUGAGGUAAUGAUUAAUAGGGACAGUUGGGGGUAUUCGUAUUCCAUUGUCAGAGGUGAAAUUCUUGGAUUUUUGGAAGACGAACUACUGCGAAAGCAUUUACCAAGGAUGUUUUCAUUAAUCAAGAACGAAAGUA
rnacentral:rRNA from 1 species